AUUUUAAUAAAGUGAAAAACCGUUAACAAACAAUAACUUUGUUUUCAGGCGAAUAUCGCAAAACAAGAGAACAUUUUCAACUAUUUCAACAAUAAAAUUCGUUCGUUGUCUGCGCCGGUGAAAAAGUUAAGCAUGCAGGUUCCAAAUAAGCAAAAAGACGAGGCUUUUCAGGUACU